AUUUCUCUCCUAUCCGCCAUCCUGGUUCCUCCCUUCCCCCCACCUCCCAACUCUGUGCCCCGCCAACGUUUCCUAAAUGCCCUCUAUUCAGAUCCCCCCUCCGCCUCCCCUCUCCUCUCCUCCAUUCCUGCGUCCCCCUUCCCCCGCCGCGCCGCCUGGGCUGUCCGUGGACUUCUCCCACUCUCUCACUCUCUCACUCACUCUCUCUCUCUCUCUCUCUCUCUCACUCUCUCUCUCUCUCUCCCCCUCAUUUAUUUGGAACCGUUGGAUAAGAAGUGCUCGGGCUCUCGCUCAGACUUAGGGAGCUGCCUCGAGGUGAUGAAUGACACCCCCUGGCACCAGCUACCCUUCUCAGACCCCAGUCCAGCCCGCUCCCGACGUCGACUACGAUUCCGCUACCUCGGCUGGCAGCGAGGUUGGGGUGAGCCCCAGCUGCAGGCGCGUCUGGGCUGCGCCGCUGCAAACGAGUUGCGCACCUUGGGCGGCUCCGCACCUGCACCCGCACCCGCGGGGCUCAGCCCCGAAGGCUGCAGCUUCGGGGGAGGCGCGGUCGCCGAGGUCCAGCUGGUGGGGCGAGAGACGUCGCCCCUCGGAGGAUGCUCUCGGAACUUGGGAGAGGAAGGAGGGAAGAGAAGAGGGGAAAGGGGCCGUCGAUGUUUUUGAUGUCUGUGCUUUAAUGGAGGCCACCAAUAUUGAGAAGACGGGGUUGGCCGAGGCAGCCCGCACGCUGCUGCUUGCGAGCGCUCGAGUCAAAGCUAGGGCCAACCGCGGCUUGUCCGGGUGCCCUAAGGGGGCGGACACUUGGUUUAGCACCGGGACACAGAAUAGCCACCGGGGUAGGAAGAUGCGUUCACUUUGCUUACCUGUUGGCAAGAGGGACAUACAAAAAUAACGUAACGUGACAUCGUUGACAACGGUAGCUCUUUGAUUACACAAAAGCCAAUUUUACCUUCCCGCAAAAGCCAGUUGACGCCUUUGGAACUUUUAUUUGCGGCAUUUUGGCGCCCUCUGGCUGUGUUUGGAUCGCUUUCAUGCUCGCCUGCGUCCCAGCCAAGAAAAAAUCGAUGGAGCUGCAGGUUGUCCUCAGGAUGGUUCUGCCCUCAGGACCUGGGCGUGAAUUCAGGGACAGGGUGGCCCUCCAGAACCGGAGUGACAAACUGUAACCAUACUUAGGGAGGCAGACGUCAAAGGCAAGUACAUCUGUAUUCAACUGGGUAAAGCCAUGUGAAGACGUGCCUGCCUCCCUGUUACCUUCCACCAUGAUUGUAAGCUUCCUGAGGCCUCCCCAGCCAUGCCUGCUGUAUAGCCUGCAGAACAGUGAGUCAAUUAAACUUCUUCUUUUUAUAAGUUAUCCAGUCUCAGGUAGUUCUUUAUGGCAAUGUGAGAACAGAACAGACUAGUACAGGCCUUUAAAGAAGUAAUUAGGCUAGGUGCGGUGGCUCACGCCUGUAAUCCCAACACUUUGGGAGGCUGAGGCGGGCGGAUCACGAGGUCAGGAGAUCGAGACCAUCCUGGCCAACAGGGUGAAACCCCGUCUCUACUAAAAAUACAAAAAAAAUUAGCCAGGUAUGGUGGUGCACGCCCGUAGUCCCAGCUACUCAGGAGGCUGAGGCAGGGGAACAGCUUGAACCUGGGAGGUGGAGGUUGCAGUGAGCCGAGAUCGCGCCACUGCACUCCAGCCUGGAGCCACAGCAAGACUGCGUCUCAAAAAAAAAAAAAGAAAAAGAAAAAAAGAAGUAAUUAAAGUAAAAUGAAGUCUUAUAUUGGGCUCUAAUCUGACAUGCCUGGUGUUCGUAUAAGAAAAGAAUAUCAGGACAGAGACACAGAAGAUCAUGUGAGGACAUAGAGGAAAUGUAAUGAUCUGUAAGUCAAAGAGCAGUUUCAGAAGAAACCGAAGCUGCCAACACCUUAAUCUUGGACUUUCAACCUCCAUAAUUGUGAGAAAUAGAUUUUUAUUGCUUAAGCCACACAGUUUGUGGUGUUUGGUUAUGGCAACCCUAGUAAACUAAUAUAGCGACCAUAUUUUCCAAACUAGAAAUUGAGACAUGUGGCUUGACAAGUACAAGUGAUUUAUAGACUCAAUUGACUAGAAUACCCUAUAUUUGAAACCCAGCCAUAUCUAAUUCAUAGUUAAUUCACAAACUUACUUCCAAACAGGACUUUACUUAAUCCUAGAAAAAUACUGUUACUCAACUCUUUAUAAACUCUUAGGAAAUGGGGUUCUAUUCCUACCCCUGAAAAUAUACCAAAUCCCAAGUUCUGCAACUGAAAUUUUAACACCAUGC
rnacentral:lncRNA from 1 species